GAGACUGUAAUUGAGCGUUGUGUGUGUGCGUGCGACUGUAACUGAGCAGUGUGUAGGAGAGAGAGACUAACUGAGCGGUGUGUGUGUGUGUAAGAGAGAGACUGUAACUGAGCUGUGUUUAAAGAGAGACUCGGUGUGUAGGAGAGAGACUGUAACUGAGCGGUGUGUAAAGAGAGACUGUAACUGAGCAGUGUGUGUGUGUGUGUAAGAAAGACUGUUCUAGUGCAUUGAAGUUAUAGCCAAUCAGAGGAAGGAGAAUGCUUGAAAUAUCCACCUGGACAAUCAUUGUAGGUAAGAGAUGCUGCGGUGGACCCAGGAGGGCAGGGUAGGCUAGCUGACGGGGUGAUGGACUUCCAGGCAGCCGAAAGGUUCUUGGUUCAAACCCCAAUGUUCACAGUCUUGGCAAGAGGCCACAACCAUACCUGCUCAUUUACAGCAUGGCAUUAACUGGCGUGCAAAAAUGAAAUCGAUUUAUUACAAGUCAUUUUGGAUUUAACUGGAUACUGUAGUGAUUCAUAAAUAAAGUCCUAUAUAUAUAUAUAUAUAUAUAUAUAUAUAUAUAUAUAUAUAUAUAUAUAUAUAUUAUAUAGCAUUUGUCUUCCAAUCCUGGUGCAAGGUCCUGCUCCGUAGCGGAUGUGUUAACCACGCUGUCCUGAGAACAGCGUUCAUUAGAGAACCACUAGAUGUCUCGUUCUCACCCUCUCCC